rnacentral:rRNA from 1 species
UAGGGAAUCUUCCACAAUGGACGCAAGUCUGAUGGAGCAACGCCGCGUGAGUGAAGAAGGUUUUCGGACCGUAAAGCUCUGUUGUUGGUGAAGAAGGAUAGAGGUAGUAACUGGCCUUUAUUUGACGGUAAUCAACCAGAAAGUCACGGCUAACUACGUGCCAGCAGCCGCGGUAAUACGUAGGUGGCAAGCGUUGUCCGGAUUUAUUGGGCGUAAAGCGAGCGCAGGCGGAAGAAUAAGUCUGAUGUGAAAGCCCUCGGCUUAACCGAGGAAUUGCAUCGGAAACUGUUUUCUUGAGUGCAGAAGAGGAGAGUAGAACUCCAUGUGUAGCGGUGGAAUGCGUAGAUAUAUGGAAGAAUACCAGUGGCGAAGGCGGCUCUCUGGUCUGCAACUGACGCUGAGGCUCGAAAGCAUGGGUAGCGAACAGGAUUAGAUACCCUGGUAGUCCAUGCCGUAAACGAUGAGUGCUAAGUGUUGGGAGGCUUCCGCCUCUCAGUGCUGCAGCUAACGCAUUAAGCACUCCGCCUGGGGGAGUACGACUGCAAGGUUGAAAC